rnacentral:rRNA from 1 species
GACGUAGGGGGCGAGCGUUGUCCGGAUUUAUUGGGCGUAAAGAGCGCGUAGGCGGCUCGUCGCGUCGACCGUGAAAACCUAGGGCUUAACCCUGGGCUUGCGGUCGAUACGGGCGGGCUAGAGUUCGGUAGGGGAGACUGGAAUUCCUGGUGUAGCGGUGAAAUGCGCAGAUAUCAGGAGGAACACCGGUGGCGAAGGCGGGUCUCUGGGCAGUAACUGACGCUGAGGAGCGAAAGCGUGGGUAGCGAACAGG